UAAUACGGAGGGUGCAAGCGUUAAUCGGAAUUACUGGGCGUAAAGCGCACGCAGGCGGUUUGUUAAGUCAGAUGUGAAAUCCCCGGGCUCAACCUGGGAACUGCAUUUGAAACUGGCAAGCUAGAGUCUCGUAGAGGGGGGUAGAAUUCCAGGUGUAGCGGUGAAAUGCGUAGAGAUCUGGAGGAAUACCGGUGGCGAAGGCGGCCCCCUGGACGAAGACUGACGCUCAGGUGCGAAAGCGUGGGGAGCAAACAGGAUUAGAUACCCUGGUAGUCCACGCUGUAAACGAUGUCGAUUUGGAGGUUGUGCCCUUGAGGCGUGGCUUCCGGAGCUAACGCGUUAAGUCGACCGCCUGGGGAGUACGGCCGCAAGGUUA
rnacentral:rRNA from 1 species